rnacentral:rRNA from 1 species
UACGUAGGGAGCUAGCGUUGUCCGGAAUCAUUGGGCGUAAAGCGCGCGUAGGCGGCCCGGUAAGUCCGCUGUGAAAGUCAAAGGCUCAACCUUUGAAUGUCAGCGGAUACUGCCGGGCUAGAGUCCGGAAGAGGCGAGUGGAACUCCUGGUGUAGCGGUGGAAUGCGCAGAUAUCGGGAGGAACACCAGUAGCGAAGGCGGCUCGCUGGGCCAUUCCUGACGCUGAGACGCGAAAGCUAGGGGAGCGAACAGG